CCAAACUGUUGCCUCGGCGGGGUCACGCCCCGGGUGCGUCGCAGCCCCGGAACCAGGCGCCCGCCGGAGGGACCAACCAAACUCUUUUCUGUAGUCCCCUCGCGGACGUUAUUUCUUACAGCUCUGAGCAAAAAUUCAAAAUGAAUCAAAACUUUCAACAACGGAUCUCUUGGUUCUGGCAUCGAUGAAGAACGCAGCGAAAUGCGAUAAGUAAUGUGAAUUGCAGAAUUCAGUGAAUCAUCGAAUCUUUGAACGCACAUUGCGCCCGCCAGUAUUCUGGCGGGCAUGCCUGUCCGAGCGUCAUUUCAACCCUCGAACCCCUCCGGGGGGUCGGCGUUGGGGACCUCGGGAGCCCCUAAGACGGGAUCCCGGCCCCGAAAUACAGUGGCGGUCUCGCCGCAGCCUCUCCUGCGCAGUAGUUUGCACAACUCGCACCGGGAGCGCGGCGCGUCCACGUCCGUAAAACACCCAACUUCUGAAAUGUUGACCUCGGAUCAGGUAGGAAUACCCGCUGAACUUAAGCAUAUCAAA
rnacentral:rRNA from 1 species